rnacentral:rRNA from 1 species
GACGAACGCUGGCGGCGUGCUUAACACAUGCAAGUCGAACGGUGAAGCGCCUUCCUUUUUGGUGGGUGUGGAUGAGUGGCGAACGGGUGAGUAACACGUGAGUAACCUGCCCCCUUCUUCUGGAUAACCGCAUGAAAGUGUGGCUAAUACGGGAUAUUCUGGGUCUGUCGCAUGAUGGGUCUGGGAAAGAUAUUGUUUCGGUGGGGGAUGGGCUCGCGGCCUAUCAGCUUGUUGGUGGGGUGAUGGCCUACCAAGGCGGUGACGGGUAGCCGGCCUGAGAGGAUGGACGGCCACACUGGGACUGCGACACGGCCAAGACGACUACGGGAAGCAGCAGUGAGGAGUAUAGCACGAUGGGCGCAAGCCUGAUGCAGCGACGCGGCGUGAGGGAUGGAGGCCGUGGGGUUGUGAACCUCUUUCGCCAGUGAAGCAGGCCUGCCUCGUUUGUGGGUGGGUUGACGGUAACUGGAUAAGAAGCGCCGGCUAACUACGUG